rnacentral:rRNA from 1 species
UACGUAGGGUGCGAGCGUUGUCCGGAAUCAUUGGGCGUAAAGCGCACGUAGGCGGCCCGGUAAGUCCGCUGUAAAAGUCCAGGGCUCAACCCUGGAACGCCGGUGGAUACUGUCGGGCUAGAGUCCGGAAGAGGCGAGUGGAAUUCCUGGUGUAGCGGUGGAAUGCGCAGAUAUCAGGAGGAACACCGAUGGCGAAGGCAGCUCGCUGGGACGGUACUGACGCUGAGGCGCGAAAGCGUGGGGAGCGAACAGG